AAUAGAUACCCUGGUAGUCCACGCCGUAAACGAUGAGUGCUAAGUGUUAGGGGGUUUCCGCCCCUUAGUGCUGCAGCUAACGCAUUAAGCACUCCGCCUGGGGAGUACGGUCGCAAGACUGAAACUCAAAGGAAUUGACGGGGGCCCGCACAAGCGGUGGGGCAUGUGGUUUAAUUCGAAGCAACGCGAAGAACCUUACCAGGUCUUGACAUCCCGCUGAUCGGCCUAGAGAUAGGCUUUUCCCUUCGGGGACAGCGGUGACAGGUGGUGCAUGGUUGUCGUCAGCUCGUGUCGUGAGAUGUUGGGUUAAGUCCCGCAACGAGCGCAACCCUUGAUCUUAGUUGCCAGCAUUCAGUUGGGCACUCUAAGGUGACUGCCGGUGAUAAACCGGAGGAAGGUGGGGAUGACGUCAAAUCAUCAUGCCCCUUAUGACCUGGGCUACACACGUGCUACAAUGGACGGUACAGAGGGUCGCAACCCCGCGAGGGUGAGCUAAUCCCAUAAAACCGUUCUCAGUUCGGAUUGUAGG
rnacentral:rRNA from 1 species